CGAGCUUGGCAGCUGCUCUCGUCCCAGCAGGCUUUGCUCUCUGAGGCAGUCAUUCCCACCACACAAAGGCAGUUCUGUGCCUCCCAAAGGUGCUUGGGGCAGGAAUGAAGAGCGGAACAGCCCCCAUCAAUCCAAUAGGAUUGUCGUUUUACGCUGGCGUGGAGCCUCAGACAUCAAAAGGGCUGGAGAGUGAAGCCACGUGUGAGCCGUGAAGUUGGUGACCCUGAGGCACAGAAAGCUGAGGGAAUUUGUUCGAAGUCACACAGCUGGUUUGGGAGCAGAGAGAACAAAAGAUCCCACAUGGGUCUUCAAUUCUAAGCCACAUGUUCCUGAUUUGGAGUCUACAGGGCUUGCAAAACUGACAGUCAUGCCAUUGGUGUGUACAUGCUCUCUUGAAGACCUCAUGGAGAGCACAAAUGAUUUGCUGGGUGUACAUGUGGCGUUCUUGGGGUGAAGGACAAUACAGUGAAGGAGCCUGAAGUAAGAAGGAACAUGCUAGGUCCCUUUUUUUGUCAAUGGACUGCAUCCUUGAUACUUCUUGUUAUACUUCAGAAUAAAAAUUAGCGGGGCAGAAGCUGUCAUCUGUGUGUGCACCUCA
rnacentral:lncRNA from 10 species